GAAAUGCGAUAAGUAAUGUGAAUUGCAGAAUUCAGUGAAUCAUCGAAUCUUGGAACGCACAUUGCGCCCGCCAGCACUCUGGCGGGCAUGCCUGUUCGAGCGUCAUUUCAACCCUCAGAACCCCUUGCGGGAUCUGGCGUUGGGGAUUGGCAUCCAGCCAGCCCCGAAAUCUAGUGGCGGUCCCUCCGCGACCUCCCCUGUGCAGUAGCGAUACCUCGCAGCGGGACAGCGGUCUGACCACGCCGUAAAACCCCCAACUUCUCAAGGUUGACCUCGAAUCAGGUACGAAUACCCGCUGAACAUAAGC
rnacentral:misc_RNA from 1 species